GGUGAACGUUGGCGGUGCGCCUAAUACAUGCAAGUCGAGCGAGAAAGUCCAAACCCGCAAGGGGGAGGGCGAGUACAGCGGCGAACUGGUGAGUAACACGUGAUCAACCUACCUCUCCGACAGGGACAACCUUUGGAAACAAAGGCUAAUACCUGAUGGCGUUGCUUGCCCACAAGGGCGAGCAAAUAAAGGGGCGUUUGCUCCGCGGGGAGAUGGGGUUGCGGCCCAUCAGCUAGUUGGUAGGGUAACGGCCUACCAAGGCGAUGACGGGUAGGGGGCCUGAGAGGGCGAACCCCCACAUGGGGACUGAGAUACAGCCCUGACUCCUACGGGAGGCAGCAGUAGGGAAUCUUCCGCAAUGGACGAAAGUCUGAUGGAGCAACGCCGCGUGAACGAUGAAGGCUUUCGGGUCGUAAAGUUCUGUUGUAAGGGAAGAACAAGUGCCGCAGGCAAUGGCGGCACCUUGACGGUACCUUGCGAGAAAGCCACGGCUAACUACGUGCCAGCCGCCGCCGUAAUAC
rnacentral:rRNA from 1 species